AAACUGCGAUGAUUUAGUCUGGCUGUGUAGAUAACUACGUGAAAAUGUAGCUAAGGGAAGGCAGAAUAAGACGCAGGACUAUCAGUUAGUUGGUAGUGUAAUGGACUACCAAGACAGUGACGGUUGACGGGAAAUUAGGGUUUUGUACCGGAGAGGGAGCCUGAGAGAUUGCUCCCACGUCCAAGGACGGCAGCAGGCGCGAAAAUUGCCCACUCUUUGCAGGAGGCAGUUAUGAGACGUGAAGAUGAGUAUCUUGUAAAGAGGGAUAGGAGAAUUGGAGGGCAAGUUUGGUGCCAGCAGCCGCGGUAAUACCGACUCCAAGAGUGUGUAUGAGAGAUGCUGCAGUUAAAAAGUCCGUAGUCAUAGAAGGGCAAAGAGAGAUGCGAGGUCUCACAGUGCGAUGAUGGAGGAGCCGAUGGGGAACAUAGUAUACCAGGGCGAGAGAUGAAAUGCCAAGACCCCUGGUGGACUGAGCGAGGCGAAGGCGAUGUUCUUGUAGGCAUUCGGUGAUCAAGGACGAAGGCUGGAGUAUCGAAAGUGAUUAGAUACCGCAGUAGUUCCAGCAGUAAAAGAUGCCGACAUGCUCAUUGGACACAGUGGGCAGGGAGAAAUCUUAGAGUUCGGGCUCUGGGGAUAGUAUGCUCGCAAGGGUGAAAAUUAAAGAAAUUGACGGAGCUACACCACAAGGAGUGGAUUGUGCGGCUUAAUUUGACUCAACGCGAGGAAACUUACCAGGGCCAAGUAUUGUGUAGAAACGAGCAAUACAGGAGUGGUGCAUGGUCGUUGGAAAUUGAUGGGAUGACUUUGACCUUAAA
rnacentral:rRNA from 1 species